UCAGAAGCCUCAAGAGCGGGAGGCUUGGGAAGAGAGUGAGCAUGCGCAUCGGCUUGCCUCGGUUUCCCUGCACGCUCAGGUGAUCCCAACAUUUGUUCCGCCACUGGUCCAGGGAUGGAGAUGCCUUGGAUUUCCAAGAGGCUGCAAUGAUGAGCUGCACCGUGGCGAUCAAAGUGGCAGCUAGUUCAGAGAUAUGAACUUCUCUGUCAUCUAUGAACCCCGUAUAACUAUGACUGCCUUCAUGGCGUCCCACUGGAUCGCCGGGUCUACCUCUGAGUCCCUGUGUAUCUCCAGGAAUUGAUCAAUGUC